AAAAUUUUGCUCUCUUUAUCUCUCGAUUUGAUUCAUAAACCCUAGCUCUUAGAUUUUUUUUCCGAUCAACGAGAAUGGCGGACGCAGAAACCUUUGCUUUCCAAGCUGAGAUCAACCAGUUGCUCUCCCUCAUCAUCAAUACCUUUUACUCUAACAAGGAGAUCUUCCUUCGUGAACUCAUCAGUAACUCUUCUGAUGUACGAUCUCUAUCUCUCUACACCUUAUUUUAUACUUGUCUGUCUCGUUUGAUUGAUCUGGCUGUUCGAUCUGUAGAUUUAGGAUUGAUUAGGGUUUAGUGUUCUAGCCGAUUUUAGAAUUUUGGUUGGUAAUUGAAGUUGCGAAGCUGUUUGUGUUCAAAUCUGUUGAUUAGUUUUAGUGUUGAUACCAACGAUUAAGCAGACUCUUGUUAGAUUUACAAAGUUUGCUUAUAUGUAAUUUGUAUAUACGUUCUGUGUAUUGGUUGGUUACUUACGAUUGUGAUUUUACUCUGGUGAAAACAGGCUUUGGACAAGAUUAGGUUUGAGUCCUUGACAGACAAGAGCAAGCUCGAUGGUCAGCCAGAGCUCUUCAUUCACAUCAUUCCCGACAAGACUAACAACACCUUGACGAUUAUCGAUAGUGGUAUUGGGAUGACCAAGGCUGGUACGUAAUUGAUUUCAGUCAAAAGCAAUUUGUAUUGGUUUUCGUUGAUUAUUUAUGUGUUUGGUGUGUUGGCUAAUACGUUUUUGUUUUAUUUUUCAGAUCUGGUGAACAACCUUGGAACAAUUGCAAGAUCUGGAACCAAAGAAUUCAUGGAGGCGUUGGCUGCUGGAGCUGAUGUUAGCAUGAUUGGACAGUUUGGUGUUGGUUUCUACUCUGCUUACUUGGUUGCUGACAAGGUUGUUGUUACUACCAAGCACAAUGACGAUGAGCAGUACGUGUGGGAGUCUCAGGCCGGUGGAUCUUUCACCGUCACCAGAGACACCUCUGGUGAGGCUCUUGGUAGAGGAACUAAGAUGGUCCUUUACCUCAAGGAAGACCAGAUGGAGUACAUUGAGGAGCGAAGGCUUAAGGAUUUGGUGAAGAAGCACUCUGAGUUCAUCAGCUACCCAAUCUCUCUCUGGAUUGAGAAGACCAUUGAGAAGGAGAUCUCUGAUGAUGAAGAGGAGGAAGAGAAGAAGGAUGAGGAAGGCAAGGUUGAGGAAGUUGAUGAGGAGAAAGAAAAGGAGGAGAAGAAAAAGAAGAAGAUUAAGGAGGUUUCUCAUGAGUGGGAUUUGGUGAACAAGCAGAAACCGAUUUGGAUGAGGAAGCCAGAGGAGAUCAACAAGGAGGAGUACGCUGCUUUCUACAAGAGUUUGAGCAAUGACUGGGAAGAGCAUUUGGCUGUGAAGCAUUUCUCAGUUGAAGGACAGCUUGAGUUCAAAGCUAUCCUCUUUGUUCCCAAGAGAGCUCCUUUUGAUCUCUUUGACACUAAGAAGAAGCCCAACAACAUCAAGCUCUAUGUCCGUCGUGUCUUCAUCAUGGACAACUGUGAAGACAUCAUUCCUGAGUACCUUGGGUUUGUCAAGGGUAUUGUUGACUCUGAAGAUCUUCCUCUCAACAUCUCAAGAGAAACAUUGCAGCAGAACAAGAUCCUCAAGGUCAUCCGCAAGAACCUUGUGAAGAAGUGUCUUGAGCUCUUCUUUGAGAUUGCUGAGAACAAGGAGGACUACAACAAGUUCUAUGAGGCUUUCUCUAAGAACCUGAAGCUCGGUAUCCAUGAGGACUCCCAAAACAGAACCAAGAUUGCUGAGUUGCUCCGUUACCACUCAACCAAGAGCGGUGAUGAAUUGACCAGUCUCAAGGACUACGUGACAAGGAUGAAGGAAGGUCAGAACGAUAUCUUCUAUAUCACUGGUGAGAGCAAGAAGGCUGUUGAGAACUCUCCAUUCCUUGAGAAGCUCAAGAAGAAGGGUAUUGAAGUUCUCUACAUGGUUGACGCUAUCGAUGAGUAUGCUAUUGGUCAGCUCAAGGAAUUCGAAGGAAAGAAGCUUGUCUCUGCAACCAAGGAAGGUCUGAAACUGGAUGAGACUGAAGACGAGAAGAAGAAGAAAGAAGAGCUCAAGGAGAAGUUUGAGGGACUCUGCAAAGUGAUCAAGGACGUUUUGGGAGACAAGGUUGAGAAGGUUAUCGUCUCUGACCGUGUUGUGGACUCACCCUGCUGUCUUGUAACAGGCGAGUAUGGCUGGACUGCAAACAUGGAGAGGAUCAUGAAAGCUCAAGCCUUGAGAGACAGCAGCAUGGGUGGCUACAUGUCGAGCAAGAAGACAAUGGAGAUUAACCCAGAGAACUCCAUCAUGGAUGAGCUGAGAAAGAGAGCUGAUGCAGACAAGAACGACAAGUCUGUGAAGGACCUUGUACUUCUUCUCUUUGAGACCGCUCUUCUCACUUCUGGUUUCAGCCUCGAUGAGCCCAACACUUUCGGGAGCAGGAUUCACAGGAUGUUGAAGCUUGGAUUGAGCAUUGAUGACGAUGAUGUUGUUGAAGCCGAUGCUGACAUGCCUCCACUUGAAGAUGAUGCCGAUGCUGAAGGUAGCAAGAUGGAGGAAGUUGACUAAAUUAUCACACACAGUCGACUUAAUCAUUAGGGGUGUUGAGACAUUGGUUAUCUUUUUAUCUUUUUUUUUUAUGUUUUCGUUUGAACUAAUAUUUUGGAACUAUUUUCUGGAGUUUAUUUCUUCUAUCGCUUGUUUUCGUGAAGAUUUUUUCUCUGAAUUCGGUUUGAUGACAAAGGUUCUCUUAUGCACAAUCUUGCAAAUCCAAGCUUAUUUUGGUUAUGUAGCCUAUAACUAAGUUAUUAGUAUGACUAAUAUGGCUAAUAAAAUACAUGAAGCAGCUCCAAAUCAUAUUGUUAAGCAUCUCAGACAACACAGCUUACAUAUUCUUUACAAUAAUAAAUAAUUUAUUGUUCGACAUAAUACUGUUGUUACUGUUUGACUUAGCGUUAAUUUUCUGCACAAAUGUUGUUACUACUUUGAUUAAAAAGGAUAAUUUGUGUAACAAUUUUUUGGUCAGUUUUAAAGGUUAUUAUUAUUUUUUUAAAUAACUUUUACGAUUAGAAUAUGAGUAGUGCAACGCAAAAUAACACUGCCGUUUAAGACGACGGUCCCUUGACAGAAUCUUCAUCAACGCUCGAUUUGACGUCUGCCGAUUUCCUUAGCUCCGACGUAAACCACUGAUCGUCGGUAUUCAGCUAUAUUUUGAUUUCUCAGCUCCAAAAAUUCCCAACGAAAUGGAGAAAAUGGCCAAAGGAUGGUUUCCGAUGAGCGGCACUAGUAGCAGCGGAGAUCAGCAGCAGCAACCGCUGCAAACAGGAGGAACGUCUCUGCUAGCUGAUUGGAAUUCUUACGCAGCAUCGAGAGAUUUUGAAGAAGACACCGGAACUUUAGGCUUCGAUAUCGAAUCCGCCGUUAGAUCUGCCAACGACACUGUUUCCGGCACCUUUAAUGUGUAAUCCAUCCAUCUCUUUCUCUUAAUCUUUAGGGGUUUAACGAUUGAUCGUGACCGUAUCUGAGAAAUUAGGCGUUUUCGCCUGCUAUUGAGGAUUGGAUUGGUGUAAAUUAAAUCUGGAAUCUGAGAAAUUGUGAUUAACCAUAUAGUUUAAGCUUUGCCAGAUUCGUUGAUCAGAUUUACAAAUUCUCAGGGUUUGAAGCUAUUGUUAGUGAAUGAUUUUGAUUAGUGUCUUCUCUCAAUGACUUAGAAUUGAUUAAGAGUCUUAAGCAUAUCUUUUUCUUGAAGUGUUACUAACUUUUUGAUUUUGAAUUUUGUUGUACUCAAAUCUGGAUUGUUAACAGUGUUUCGAAAGGAGUUAGAGAUAACCUGCAGUCUGCAACAAGUAGUAUGCCUUCAGGAAAAGCUUUGAUGUAUUUCGGUUUACUUCUAGCAAGUGGUGUAUUCUUCAUCUUCAUUGCCUUCACCAUGUUUCUUCCAGUCAUGGUGCUUAUGCCACAGAAGUUUGCAAUUUGUUUUACCCUUGGAUGUGGAUUUAUCAUCGGAUCUUUCUUCGCUCUUCGUGGCCCGCAAAAUCAACUCGCUCACAUGUCAUCGGCAGAGGUAAUAACUAAUAACAAAACCUUGUGUUGUGCAGCUUCUUAUAUCUGCUGUAUUUCGUUUACAUUUUUCUCUUUGGAAUUUUAAUUUCUUGUUUGCUGGCUUCUCCAGAGGCUUCCACUAACUUUAGGUUUCAUUGCCACCAUGGUUGGCACCAUAUAUGUCUCGAUGGUGCUCCAUAGCUACAUUCUCUCUGUGAUUUUCUCUGCAUUACAGGUACUUAAAUUUCAUCUUCCUUCCCGACUCUUGUUGGUGUUUAUAUCCUCUGUUUUUCAUAUGUUAAAAUUUUCCUCUUCCCCAUUUCACAAAUCUUACCUAUGAAGUUCUUUUUUACCCUGCAUGUUUCAUCUAGUAAGCUCUUGCCUCGUCGAAACAUAAUGUGUUUAGUAAAAAACAUGUAGACUUUCUUAUUGCUGUUUUAAAAUACAAGUUGGGUUAGUAUGAAUUAUGAAGAAGCCUUGAACGCCAUAUCUUUGGUUGGUCUCUUGGCUUGUUUUUGCAAAUGCACUUACUUGCGACAGAAACAGCUUUGAUAUAUUAUUACUCACCCGUUAUCGAUAUGGAAUAUAUACUUUAAGAACUCACUAAAUCAUAUCCUUCAUGUCGGUUUAAAGAUUAGUCACGUAUCUGCACAUUCUGUAAGUAUAGUAAUCUCAUAAAAAACCUGGUCUCUGUUCUCUGUGAAUCCAUAGGUUAUUGCACUGGCGUACUACUGUAUAUCAUAUUUCCCUGGUGGAUCAUCGGGAAUGAAGUUCCUCAGUUCUACUCUUACCUCCUCUGUCUUCCGAAUGUUUGGGAGAUGAGCUUUCGCUUUGACCUAUGCAAAGAAAAUAACUUGAUUCUCUCGUGUAUAAAGAAAGAUGAAAGAUCUUCAACAGUGGUUAAAUGACAAAUCUGGUAAAAUAUGUUGGUCCAAUGGCUCAAAGACAGUUUUGUUAUAAAUUUCCUAUAUUGAUACUUUCUGCUAAAUUGGUUCAAAACUUCAAAUCACUAGCCACUGGAUGAGGUAUGGAACUUGAAGAGUUGCUUGGUGGAUACAUUCUCUAAUCUAGGGUAAGUCGUUAGCUUCAAUGUCUUACUGUGAAUUAUUACAUCAGAAUUAAGAAAGUUAUUACACGUAUGUUUUCACUGAGUUUACUACACUGGCAAUGUGGCAUACAUCUCUUACUGCAAAUUGCAGACAAGUGGUCAAUCAAAUCUUUUUUAGUUGGGCCCAAAAUGUCUGUUAUUGGAUACGUUGGGCCUUAAAAUGGCCCCCAUCAGUCAAAAACAUCACUGCUUGGAGAAGGAUCUAGAAAAACUUGCAAGUUAGUUCAAACAAAAUAAAGGAAAAAGAACGAUCUAGAAGAAAGAAAAAAAAAGGAAAAGAAACCCUUAUGGAGGUUCCCACACCACUCUAUAUAUAAUAACAUCCUUCUCCUAAAUCCCGCAUCAGUACUUCUCUCUGCUCUCAAGAUAAUUUUGUUCUCUCAAUUUCAUUCUUAAACCCUAGUUCUUCGAUUUUUUCCGAUCUACGACAAUGGCGGACGCUGAAACCUUUGCUUUCCAAGCUGAGAUCAACCAGUUGCUUUCCCUCAUCAUCAAUACCUUUUACUCUAACAAGGAGAUCUUCCUCCGUGAACUCAUCAGUAACUCUUCUGAUGUACGAUCUCUAUCUCUCUCUACCUUAUUGUAUACUUGUGUAUCUCGUUUGAUUGAUUUGGCGGAUGGAUCUGUAGAUUUAGGUUUGGUUAGGGUUUAGUGUUCUUUCCGUUGGGAGAAUUUUGGUUACUUACUGAAGUUGCGAAGCUUUUUGUGUACAAAUCUAUUGUUUAGGUUUAGUGUUGAUACCAAGGAUUUAAGUAGUUUCUUGUUAGAUUACCAAGUUUUCGAUUGCUUAUAGUUGAUUUGCAUACAUAUUAUGUGUAUUGUUUGCUUACGAUUGUGAUUCUAUUCUGGUGAAAACAGGCUUUGGACAAGAUUAGAUUCGAGUCCUUGACGGACAAGAGCAAGCUCGAUGGUCAGCCUGAGCUCUUCAUUCACAUCAUUCCCGACAAGACUAACAACACCUUGACCAUUAUUGAUAGUGGUAUUGGCAUGACCAAGGCUGGUACGUAAUUGAUUUCAUCCUAAAUCAAUUUGUUUCGAUUUUGUUGUUGUUUGUUAGUCUUGCAUCUGUGUUUGUUUUGUUGGCUAAUUCGUGCUUCUUCUAUUAGAUUUGGUCAACAACCUUGGAACAAUUGCAAGAUCUGGAACCAAGGAAUUCAUGGAAGCACUGGCUGCUGGAGCUGAUGUUAGCAUGAUUGGUCAGUUUGGUGUUGGUUUCUACUCUGCUUACUUGGUUGCUGACAAGGUUGUUGUUACUACCAAGCACAAUGACGAUGAGCAGUACGUGUGGGAGUCUCAGGCCGGGGGAUCUUUCACUGUGACCAGAGACACCUCUGGGGAGACUCUUGGUAGAGGAACAAAGAUGGUUCUUUAC
rnacentral:lncRNA from 1 species